CCGAGUUAGGGUCUUUCAGGCCCGACCUCCAACCCUUUGUUAACUAAACCAUGUUGCUUCGGCGAGCCCGCCUUUACAGGCCGCCGGGGGGCCUCAGCGCCCCCUGGCCCGUGCGCGCCGGUGGCCAUAACCAAAACUCUUGAUAAACCAUGUCGUCUGAGUCUAAAUCAUAAUUAAACA
rnacentral:misc_RNA from 1 species